AGUUAAGAAAUUAAGCGUAUACGGUGGAUGCCUAGGCAAUCAAAGGCGAUGAAGGGCGUGCAAAUCUGCGAAAAGCGUUGGUAAGGUGAUUGAACCAAUAUAACCAGCGAUUCCCGAAUGGGGAAACCUAGUGUUUUAAAACACUAUUUUAUCAUAAAUAAAUAGUGAUAAAAAGCGAACCAAGUGAACUGAAACAUCUAAGUAACUUGAGGAAAAGAAAUCAAUUGAGAUUCCCUAAGUAGUGGCGAACGAAAGGGGAAAAGUCAAGAGAAUUUUUUAAAUUAAAAUAUAUUUUAGUAGAAAUUUUUUGGAAAAAAAAUACAAUAUAGGGUGAUAGUCCCGUAUACGAAAAAAUAUAUUUUUUUUUCUCUAAUAGUAAAACGAGACACGUGUAAUCUUGUUUGAAUAUAGGGGGACCAUCCUCUAAGACUAAAUACUCUUGAUUGACCGAUAGUGAACUAGUACCGUGAGGGAAAGGUGAAAAGAACCCCGGUGAGGGGAGUGAAAUAGAACCUGAAACCGUAUACGUACAAGCAGUAGAAGCAUUUAUAUAAUGUAACUGCGUACCUUUUGUAUAAUGGGUCAGCGACUUAUAUUUUGUAGCAAGGUUAACUAUAUAAGGUAGCCAAAGGGAAACCGAGUCUUAAAUGGGCGAAUAGUUUCAAAAUAUAGACCCGAAACCCGGUGAUCUAACCAUGAACAAGUUGAAGAUUAAUUAAAUCUAAUUGAAGGACUGAACCGACUAAUGUUGAAAAAUUAGCGGAUGAUUUGUGGUUAGGGGUGAAAGGCCAAUCAAACCGGGAGAUAGCUGGUUCUCCUCGAAAGCUAUUUAGGUAGCGCCUCAUGUAAUUCAUCUUCGAGGGUAGAGCACUGUUUCGGGUAAGGAGUCUACCGACUUUUGAACCGUUGCAAACUCCGAAUAUCGAAGAAUGUUAUCAUGGGAGACACACAACGAGUGAUAACAUUCGUUGUGGAAAGGGAAACAACCCAGACCACCAGCUAAGGUCCCUAAAUUAUAGUUAAGUGGAAAACGAUGUGGGAGGGCAUAAACAACCAGGAUGUUGACUUAGAAGCAGCCAUCAUUUAAAGAAAGCGUAAUAGCUCACUGGUCGAGUCAACCUGCGCGGAAGAUGUAACGGGGCUUAAACUAUAUACCGAAGCUGUGGUAACAAUAUUUAAUAUUGUUAGGUAGAGGAGCGUUCUGUAAGCUGUUGAAGGAAAAUUGUUAAAUUUUCUGGAGGUAUCAGAAGUGCGAAUGCUGACAUAAGUAACGAUAAAGUAGGUGAAAAACCUACUCGCCGAAAAACUAAGGUUUCCUAUCCAAUGUUAAUCAAGGUAGGGUAAGUCGGACUCUAAGAUGAGGCUGAAAAGCGUAGUCGAUGAAUAACAGGUUAAUAUUCCUGUACUUUAUUUUUAUUGCUAAAAAAGGGACGGAGAAGGCUAAACUAUCCAGGUGUCGGUUGUCUUGGUUUAAGCAUGUAGAAGUAUUAACUUUAAGGUGUGAUAAAUAAUCAUUUUAAAAAUGAUAAAUUAGUUGAUGCCAUACUUACAAGAAAAUCUUUCAAGCAAAAAUAAAAAUAAAACCGUACUCUAAACCAACACAGGUAGUUAAGUAGAGAAUACUAAGGCGCUUGAGAGAACUCGGGUGAAGGAACUAGGCAAAAUAAUGUCGUAACUUUGGGAGAAGACAUGCUGGUAUUAAGUGAAAUUCUUAACGAAUUUAGCUAAAUCCAGUCGCAGAUAAUAGCUGGCUGCAACUGUUUAAUAAAAACAUAGCACUGUGCAAACACGUAAGUGGAAGUAUACGGGGUGACGCCUGCCCGGUGCUGGAAGAUUAAGAGGGGAUGUUAGUUGUUUUACAACAAAGCAUUGAAUUGAAGUCCCAGUAAACGGCGGCCGUAACUAUAACGGUCCUAAGGUAGCGAAAUUCCUUGUCGGGUAAGUUCCGACCUGCACGAAAGGCAUAACGAUUUGGGCGCUGUCUCAACAAGAGUCUCGGUGAAAUCAAACUGUCGGUGAAAAUGCCGACUACCCGCGACAGGACGAAAAGACCCCAUGGAGCUUUACUGCAGCUUAAUAUUGAUUUUAUAAUUAGAAUGUACAGGAUAAGUGGGAGGUUUUAAAUUUAAAACGCAAGUUUUAAUGAAGCCAUUCUUGAAAUACCACCCUUUAAUUUUUAAUAUUCUAAUUUAAUUCCAUUAUCUGGAAUAAAGACAAUGUCUGGUGGGCAGUUUGACUGGGGCGGUCGCCUCCUAAAAAGUAACGGAGGAGUGCAAAGGUUAGCUAAUUACGGUCAGAAAUCGUAUGUUUAGUGCAAAGGCAUAAGCUAGCUUAACUGCGAGAGUGACAACUCGAGCAGAUGCGAAAGCAGGUCUUAGUGAUCCGGUGGUUCUAUAUGGAAAGGCCAUCGCUCAACGAAUAAAAGGUACUCCGGGGAUAACAGGCUAAUACCGCCCAAGAGUUCAUAUCGACGGCGGUGUUUGGCACCUCGAUGUCGGCUCAUCACAUCCUGGGGCUGCAGUAGGUCCCAAGGGUAUGGCUGUUCGCCAUUUAAAGUGGUACGCGAGCUGGGUUUAGAACGUCGUGAGACAGUUCGGUCCCUAUCUGCCGUGGGCGUUGGAAGAUUGAGAGGGGUUACUCCUAGUACGAGAGGAGCGGAGUGAACGUACCGCUGAUGUUCGGGUUAUCAUGCCAAUGGUACUGCCCGGUAGUUAAGUACGGAAGAGAUAAGCGCUGAAAGCAUAUAAGUGCGAAACUUGCCUCAAGAUAAGUCUUCCCAGAACCUUAAUAGGUUCCUAAAGGUACGUUUAAGACUAAGACGUUGAUAGGUUGGGUGUGUAAGUAUAGCAAUAUAUUGAGCUAACCAAUACUAAUGAACCGUGAGACUUAACUUU
rnacentral:rRNA from 1 species